rnacentral:misc_RNA from 1 species
AGGGGCUAGUCCUGUUUGUAAAGAAGCUAGCUGGUGUCGAGGCGGAUCAACCAUGAUUAUGGCUGUGAUAUCCAUAUUUUCAGGGCCACUAUUAUCGCUGGAAUAGUCAUCAUCUUCAUUAUCAGAAGAACUGUCAUCAGAUUCAUGAGACACAAAAAUCAUAUAUUGAGGAGGGUCAGGAUGCAUUUUCUCUUUUCCUUUAUUAAGUCUUCU